UGAAUUUUAAUCCGACCAUUGAUCUGAUCAAGAUAUUUUACACAUGUAGCCGCGGCUUAUGGUGUCUACUCGCAGCGUGGCGGGGGCUUGGCAUCCCGAUGGUGAUAUCGUGAUGUCAGUCAGCCAUCACGAUGGACGAUGAUAUCGUCCAUCGGCACAACCCUAAUUGUACACAGACGCAAGUUAAAUGAGAUGGAAGAUUUUUUUUGAACCCAAUAAAAACAUGUUUUAGCCUGUGUCUGAAACCACUGUUAGCAAACAGGUGCACAAAACCUUUUCAACCAUCAAAUGUUAUCAUGUCUUUGUACAGACAUUACAGAACUGUUUGUCAUAGAUGACUAAGAAAAAGCUUUCCUGCUGCAAAGUUGGGGAAUAGUUGAGACAUUCUCACAUGCAAAGUGUACAAGUUAAUUCUACCUGGAGCAUGGCGGUAUCUAAUGCUUCCAUUUCAAUGGAUGUCCUUCAGUAAAUUAGUCAAGGCAAAUUUAUUAAAUCUGGUUUUACUUUUCACACCAAGUUUCAAUUAUUUCUGUGUUGAUGCGUUGGCCUUGAUGCACACUAAGCAGCAGAAUGUGUAAGAACAGUGCUUUGACACUUCAUUCUUAAAGCGUUUCUCCUUGGUUCCUGUUACAUUCAUUCCUAUUCAAAGAUGGGUUUCUUUUAAAGCUUAUGGGGGGGAUUCAGUAGAGCAGAGCUGGGUUCAAAAGUCCUAGAAGUCAUUUAACAAAAUACUUUGGCAGCAGAGAGGAGCAGGCUGACUGGUGAUUUGUGAGCAAACAUAAGGAAGACAUAUGUUGAGAUUCUUCUUUUUAUGCCUUUUUUUAAUGCUGCUUUCUGUUCAGUAUUGUUCUACAGCACAAUUAGACUGACAGACUUAAAGGAAGCGUAAAUGAUGUGGUGGAUGGGGCCACUGACAUGUCUACACUGGAUGGAUAAUCUCUAAACUCACAAAUAGGAUUCUGAAUGGAGAAAAUGAAGCCCAAAGUGGGAUGGGUAUGUUGACUGGAGUUAACUCGGCCCACCUCAACAGCAUGUCAGAAAUGACUGAUUUGGUGGGACAGUGUAAUGGGAGUUGAUGCAGAGUUGCUCUUUUGUCAUCUCUUUUGGCUUUGGCUCACUGCGCCCUGCCCCCUUUAAAAAAAAUUCAAUUCAAUUCCUUUUUCUUCUUUGAUAGGUUUCUCUUUAAGUUUUUAGGUUGGGUUUUUCCUUGCCUCUAGGCCUGCAGGUCAGCUGAGCUGGCACAUUCAGAAAGGAUGGGUUCUGGGGUGUUACUCUGGGACAGUAAUGCUGGUUCUGCUUCCUCUGAGCACUGGCACCCACUUUGGCUCCACUAUCAGCCUGCAGUUUGAAAAGGUUGUGGCUGAUCUGUUUAUGUGCUUCUCAAUGCCUCCACCAUGGUAAUCCAAUUUCACCAUCACAAAGAAUUGUGAAGACUGUUGUCAUGGCCCCCAGGGAGGCCCAGAUUAUCAGUUCAGACUUUUCAACUGUAGUUCCAGUGACCAGGCACCAUUCCUGGGUUCCCUCUACUAGGAAUGUGUAGGCAAGAACUGCAGUUUUCAGUUUUGUGAACACUAGACAUUUAGUCCACAGAGCUGCUCAGUAUAGAGGGACAGACCUGUUUAGUUGUAUACAAAUAUACUUCUGUGACUCAUUAAAUGUCAUGCUUUAUUCAUUUGACGAUGUAGAAAAUGUUUGUUCUCAUACAUUUCUUUUAAUGUUGCGUCCUAAGUGGUUCAUUGUUAUUGUUUGUUAACUUUGAAUAUGGGGUACAAAUUCAAUUAAAAAAAAUGGGGCUACCGGUAAUCUUUUAACUGGCAUUUUCCUACUACAAAAACUAAAAAAAA